AGCUGAUAUGAACCGUUUUUGUCUGUCAAAAUGGACGUUUCCUCAAGUAAGUCAUCCAGUACAUCUAGUUUUGCAGCAAUGGGCGUUGAUUUUCCAGAACUCGGAGUAUUUCUUGCGAGUUGUGGCAGAGGUGCAGGGGCCUCUUUUUGUUUCUCAGGAAUAGUAGCAGACAUGAAUCCAGAAGAAUCAAGCAGCUUUGUCUCACUAAAUGAGUCAAGAAGCAUAUCCAGUUCUGCCUCGGCAGUUGAUGCCUCGAAUGUGGAUCGUUUCUUCUUGGGUUCUGAAACCGAACUCAUGUUGAAUUCUGUUGGGCACUCCAAAGCUCUGCUUUGACUGUGUU
rnacentral:misc_RNA from 1 species